rnacentral:rRNA from 1 species
GACGAACGCUGGCGGCGUGCUUAACACAUGCAAGUCGAACGGAAAGGCCCUGCUUUUGUGGGGUGCUCGAGUGGCGAACGGGUGAGUAACACGUGAGUAACCUGCCCUUGACUUUGGGAUAACUCCAGGAAACUGGGGCUAAUACCGGAUAGGAUCUCCUGCUGCAUGGUGGGGGUUGGAAAGUUUCGGCGGUUGGGGAUGGACUGGCGGCUUAUCAGCUGGUUGGUGGGGUAGUGGCUUACCAAGGCUUUGACGGGUAGGCGGCCUGGGAGCGUGACCGGCGACAUUGCGACUGAGAUACGGAGCAGACGGCUACGGGAGGCAGUGGGCGGGAAUAUUGCACAACGGGCGGAAGCCUGAUGUAACAAUGCUGGGUGCGUGAUGACCGCCUUCGGGUUGUAAACCGCUGUCGACUGUGACGAAGCGUGAGUGACGGUAAUGGGUAAAGAAGCACCGGCUAACUACGUG